GGGACCUUGCUGAAAUGCAGAUUCCGAUUCAGCAGGUCUAGAAUGGGGCCGAAGAUGCUGCAUCUUUAACAAGUUC
rnacentral:miRNA from 1 species